AUGUUAUGGGUCUGUUUGAAACUGUCCUUAUCUUGGCCUGCGGCUUUAAAACUCAGUCAGUUUUUUUCAUGUACCAAGAAGGUCAAAAAUGGCAUUGAAGGCAACUUUUUGUCCGUUGGAAAAAGAUCAUACCGAGGCCGUCCUCCGAGUGUUUUCAUCUGGCUCUUGCGAGCUCAAUUUGGUCCAGGUCCGACCCCGGUUGAAUUAUUUACCCACGACUAUUCAAAGUUCAGCCGACAAGAUCCUGAAUUUGGAACUCCGGCCUGACGAUGUUUGGAUCAUUACCUAUCCUAAAUGUGGAACCACGUGGACCCAGGAGAUUGUGUGGCAAAUGUUCAACAUGGAUUUUGAUGACAACAAAGAUCUUUUCCAAAAAAGUCCUUUCUUGGAAAUGGAACUUAUUGCUACCUCUAAUCCCAUGCCUCCCCCACCACCCAAUUCUGAGAUGGGGCCUCCACCGGAACACAUCAUUCAAUCGAUUGAGUAUUGUGCCUCAGUUCCGUCUCCCAGAGUCAUCAAAACACAUUUGCCACUUUCCAUGCUGCCCGCCAAACUCCUGGACACUUGUAAAGUCAUCUUUGUGUCAAGACAUCCGUUGGAUGCGUGUGUCUCUUACUUUCACCAUGCCAAAAAUGGGAAGCAGUUUUUUCGAAUGCAUGGAAAUUUCGACGAUUAUGCCAAAUUAUUCUUCGCCGGCCAGGUCAUGUUCGGCAACUAUUGGGACCACCUCGAGGAAGCAUGGCCGAAACGAGACCAUAAGAAUGCACGCUUCUUUUGGUACGAGGACAUGCAAGCUGACUUGAACCAGAUACUUCACGAACUGAACGCGUUUCUUGGAAGGCUGCGAACCAAUGACGAGCUACUGGAAUUGAGCCAGUUUGUUCAAAUCAAGAACAUGAAGGCCAGGUCCAUGAACCGAGCCAAAGAUGAGGCCGAGAAAGAAUUCAAUUCCAUGUUCAUUCGUCAAGGAGGAUGUGGUCAAUGGAAGGACUAUUUCAACGGUGAUCUACACGACGAGGCUCGACAAUGGCUCGAAGCUAACAUGAGAAGAACUGGAAUCGUUGUUCGAGGCGAGGCAUAAACGUACUUUGUGAACUGUACGUAUUAGUAUAAGUACUGCAACACUCCCUGCACAGAUUGAUGAUUGGACAUUGCAAGGGACGACUUGUGUGGCGAAACAUGACAAAGGCACACUGUGUCACUCAAAUUUCGGGUUCUAAAAUGGAUGAAAUAUAUGUACACUAAUCCAAAAAGUUUUUGAGUUCUGAGCAAACAAUUAGCGUACUUACGCAAGGAAUCGAUCAGACGGAGGAUUUGCGUUAGAUGUCUUAUCCAUGGUGUUAGAGGUCUAUCCUUGAACGAUGUGUUCACGUUGACCUUCAUGAUUGGGAAUAUUGUGGGUUCAGUGCAGACUAUUCCCAGUCUCAAAAUGAAUUCAGCAAUGGCUGGGCGAGAGUUACCCUUCGAAUUUGAACCCUUGUCCAAGGAUGAGAUUGCGUCAAAACGAAAAGUGUUUCAAGAGGGAUCUUUGGAGCUGGAGUUGACCAAAACAAUCCCAGGUCGGGUGUUUUUGCCGAAAGUUUAUCAAGAAGAUGCCAAACGAGUUUACAACAUGGAACUCCGUCCAGAUGACAUUUGGAUCGUGACCUACCCAAAAUGUGGCACCACGUGGAUGCAA